GAACUGGUUUCUUCAACUCCUUAUUUCUAAUGCCUGGUGAUUUUUGUGGAGAGGAGCUUCUAACAUGGGCUUUGGAUCCUAACUCAUCCUCAAAUCUACCUACUUCAACUAGAACAGUUGAAACUAUAUCUGAAGUUGAAGCAUUUGCACUCAUGGCUGAUGACUUGAAGUUUGUUGCUUCCCAAUUUAGACGUCUUAUAAACAGCAAACAACUCCAACACACUUUUAGGCAAGGCUUGAUAUCGUGCUUUCUCCUUUUCUGUUUUAAUUUGAUGAUUCACCAUUACAUUUUAUGAAUAAGUGGAGUUCUACAUUAAAUAGGUUCUGACUUUUGAGAGUAAUGUGCUUAUAUAGUCUCAUCAAAUUCAAUUUGGGUUUAUCUUAUAACAUUAGCACAUGUAUAUGUAUUUGGAAGAGCUUACGAAAAUAACAUGUGACAUGCUCAUAUAUAGGUUGUUUUCAUCUUGGUUCAGUAAGCUGUGCAGAAUAGCUUAUAAAUACAGUUUAUAUCUUGUGUGAAAACAAUUUAACCGCAUUACCUCUUUGACAAGAGAUAUAACUCAUACAUAAAGGCUUAAUUUUAAAACAAAAAAAGAAUUUAUUGGUUAAACUUGUUCAACAAUAUAUACUUUUGCAGGUUAUAUUCACCCCAAUGGAAGACAUGGGCUGCAUGUUUCAUACAAGCGGCCUGGCGGCGAUACCGGAAAAAGAAGAUUGAUAGGACAUUGCGUGAAGCAGAAGACAAGCUACAAAAUGCUUUGGCAAAUGAGGAAGGAUCAACUAUAAGCCUUGGUGCAACCAUAUAUGCAUCAAGGUUUGCUGCAAAUGCAUUACGAAACUUGAGAGAAAAUAACAGACACAACAGAAUGCCGCAGAGACUAUUGCCUCUUUUGCCUCCAAAGCCAGCUGAACCUGAUUUCACUGCUCAGAAACACUAGGCCUAGCUUAGAAAUAUAAGUUUAGAUAUGAUAGAAACAAAACUACCAAAUGGAGUAUGUGAAACAUUAUCCAUACUCCAUUGUAUUUGUAUGCAUAUAUAUAUAUAUAUGUAACUCUGUAAAUUUUGCUUGUAGUAGGACAGAUAUAGUUCAUUUUGUCUGAACAAUAAAACACCUAGCUAGGUGCAUGUGGUUUUAUUUAUAGCACACUUUUUUUGUCCUUUAACAAAUGGUAGCAUUUGAGUAUUAAUUUUGUCUAUGGUACCCAAUUAGUAUUUGUCUAUGGUCUGUUGCCAAAUAAAUAUAUAAAAGGAACUGCAAGACCAAAUACUAUCCAUGUUACUGUUAGAAGCAUAUAUAAUUGUGUGUGUAUGCUGUGGUAUCCUCUAUAAUUGUGGGACAUGUGAUUGAAACCUGAGCUUCGAUUAUUGAAAGAGAGAAUGAUGACACCGGAAAGAAGCUCAACUUAAUGAUUAAUACUAUUAACUAUACUGUGAAUUGAGUAAAAACAAAACUAUAUUGUGAAUUGUACCGACAUUUUUAAAUUUUAUACUGUGAAUAGGUAUAAAAAAGAAAAUUAUUGGUAAUUAAUUUAUUAAAAACUAAUCUAUUGUGUAAAUAAAAAAUAGUCAUAUGUAUCUUUUCAUAAAUUAUUUGAUAUUUAAUAAUUAAUAAAAAAAUAAUACUUCAUCAUUCGUCAUAAACUAAGUACCAUUUUUAUUCAUUAUAUACUUAUUAAAAAAUAAUAUAAAUAAUAAUAGUAAUUUAAUAAAUUAUCUUUAUAAUUUUUAUGAAAUUAUCAUAUUAAAGAUAGAUGUGUUUAUCAUUAUAAAUGUAAAACAAAAAAUAUUCAAAAAAAUAUAUUAAAAUAUAAUAUUUUUAAAAUAAUAUAUAUAAUAAUUGUAGUUUAAAGAUAGUGUAUUGAUCUUGUACAAGAAUUUUACACUUUAAUUUCAUCUUAACUAUUUGAUCAUUGUUUCUUUAAAUUUUAAUCUAAUAACUAAACGGUACACUAGAUGGUAUAAUUAAGAAAUAAUAUCUAAUUUUAUAUUAAAAAUAACUGAGACCUAUAUAUUCCUUCAUUCCUUCAAAACUCUAAUUUCCCUUAAACCCUAAUUUCGGAAAAAUUUCCCCAAAUUCGACACUGGAACAUGAGAAGAGCCAAAGGAUGUACAACCUGUUCGCACACAAUCUCUGAGAGAUUCUAAGCGCAGGUAAUUCCAAUGAAGAUGUUGAUGAUGUUGAGGGGUUACCUUGCACGUUGAAAGAAAAUAAAAUUGAAGAGGUUGGACGCCGAUCUUGAGAGGCAUAGAACAAGACAUCCUCUAAUUUUAUUUUUAUUUUUUUUAUAAAUAACAACAAUAGAUUAAUCAAAUAAUAUUAAUAUAUUAUUAAAAUAUAUUUAAUUAAACAUAUGUGAUGUUUGAGAAACUGACGUCGACUUUUUCUCUUUAUUUUGAUUAUAUUUUCCAUAAUUUUUUUUAUAAGAAUAUAAUAAAAAGCAAUAAUCUUCCAAAUCGUUAAUCAUAUUAACAAUUAUACAAUUAAAGAUAAAAUAUAAUAAAUUAAUUCAACAAAUUCUAUAUAUAGAUAAAAAAAUUAUAAAUUGAAUCUAUUUUAUUUGAAUGAAUUGUGUGAUAUUCCAAAAACUUGUGUGAAUUGUAUGACGCAUGAAAAUUGUGUGACUCAUAAAAAUUGUAAAACAUGAGAAUUGAAUUUCUAAUCUUUUCAAUUUAUCUACUACGUACGAAUCGCGUCAAACUUUAAAAAAAACUAUAUCACUUUUAUAAACACGCUCCGGAACAUGCAUGGACGAGCGUUGUUCUGAUUAACAACGUUGAAGAAAAUAAAAUGCGGAUAGAGACAGGGGACAUGACAUCUCCUAAUUUUUUUUUUAUUUUUUUUAUAAAUAACGAAAAGCAAUAAAAGAUUAUUCAAUUGUUCUUAAAUAACAGUCCAAGUCGUUAAUCAUAUUAUAAAUUAUACAAUUAAACAGAUAAAAUAUAAUAAAUUAAUUCAACAAACUCUAUAUAUAGAUAAAAAAAAAUCAUAAAUUGAAUAUAUUUUAUUUGAAUGAAUUGUGUGAUAUUCCAAAAACUUGUGUAAAUUAUAUGACGCAUGAAAAUUGUGUGACUGGUAAAAAUUGUAAAACCUGAGUCUACUACCUACGAAUCGCAUCAAAUUUUAAAAAAAACUAUAUCACUUUUCUGAAUUUCAAUUAUAAUAGUUUAAUUAAUACUUAUAACUCUCUGACUCUGUAAAUAACAGAGUUAUCCUUCUUACUUUGAUCAAUCCUCACCUUUGAUUUUUAGCAGAAUGAGUUGUGAGAUGCUUCCCUUGUAAUGUGUUGACUCAUGUCAUAGGUACUAUGAGAGGUUAGUGGUCUGUAUCAUAUCCAUUUUAAUUAUAGUGAAUAAUAUCACAAUUAACCAUGUGAACAAAACAAGAAGGUUCUAUCAUCUAGAUUAACCGUAAUUAGUAUUAAAAACAAAACAAAUGAAAAAAUUCUACGCCUAGGUAAACCAUAAUUAGUAUUAAAUAUUGAUUUUGAUAAUAAUAUUAUUAUCAAAUUAUAAAACAUUUCUAAUUGUAUCUAAUAUUAAUUCUAUUAAUAAUUUCAUGAAUUAAAAUGAUCAAACUAAUAUGAUUUAAUGGCAACACUUUAUCUCUCUAAAUGCUACAUGUGGCCGUAUACAAGUAUUAAUUCAAAAACAAUUUCUUUUGAUAUCUAUAUUAUAUAAAAUUACAAAAAAAAAUCAUCAACUUUUAAUGAUAAUAUUUUAUCUCUCUUAAAUGCCACAUGAUAGUCUUAUACCAUACAAUCAUUUAUUUAAAACAAUUUUUUUCACAUUCAUUUCAAACAAUUUAAAAAUAGAAUCUACAAUAAAAAAGUUUGAUGAUUGGAGAUCAGAGUCAUCUUUUAGUAUAGAGAAUGAAGAUUUUGUAAACAAAAGAAAAAGGAGACCAAGUGUAAGUGAUGUUUUGAAGAGUAUGGGAAGAAGAUUUGAGAGUGGAUCAGAGAAGAUGAAGAAAUUCAGAAGACCUUCUUCAAUAGUCCAUCCUGUAAGUGAAGGACAAACAAAGAAACCGACUUAUUCUAAGCGAAAAAUUCUUGAUCCACAAGGGCCAAUGCUUCAGAAAUGGAACAAAAUCUUUGUACUCACAUGUGUUAUGGCAAUUUCAAUGGACCCUCUUUUCUUUUACAUUCCAGUGAUUGUUGGUAGAGAAAAAUGUCUUGAUUUGGAUGGAACAUUGCAGACUACUGCUAGUGUUCUUCGCACCUUCUUCGAUCUUUUCUACAUUCUUCGCAUCAUCUUUCAAUUUAGAACCGGAUUUAUUGCACCUUCUUCUCGUGUUUUCGGAAGGGGUGAGCUCAUUGAUGAUCCUGUCGCGAUAAUUAAAAGAUACUUGAGUUCUCAUUUCAUCAUUGACAUUCUAUCAAUUCUUCCAAUUCCACAGGUAUCUCUCACUUCAACUCAUUCUUUAAGUAUAUUUUCCAAUGACAAAUACCAAUACUUAUUCUGAUCCUCUGAAGCCUUGCAGCUCUCUCAAGCCAAAUGUUGACAGGUCAAUUAAUGUAAAGGCUGAGAGUCUCUCAUAGUUUGGAUUAUCUAUUGGCUGUUACAUUAUUCCAACGACCAACAUUUAACUAGAGAGAGUGUCAGGGAUUCAAAUGAUCCAUGUCAUAACCCAAGUAAGCCUAAGAAGAAUGAUUUAGGCCCAUGUGGCUCAAGGACUAGAAGUUCCCUUAGAUGAUGAGUCCCCAGUUUCUAGAAUGAGCUAGAUAAGUCCCAUUAUGAUGAGUCAUACUGUGUUAUAGUGCAGCCAAUAUGCCAAUUUUUGUUAUGCUUAGCUUGUAUAAGUCCCAUUACAAUCCAAGUUGAGUACUAUGGCAGAAAAGUUAAUUGAUUUGUCAUAAUAAUAUUCUUAACAUGAUUUUGUUGUUGUUUUGACAUUUCAGGUUAUAGUUUUGGCUAUAAUUCCACACCUGAAAAAUUCAGGUCCAUUUGCAGCAAAGGAUUGGUUGAAGUAUACAGUAUUAAUUCAGUAUGUGCCUAGACUCCUGCGGAUUCGUCCACUAUUCAAAGAAGUAACUAGAACUUCAGGCAUAUUAACAGAGACAGCAUGGGCUGGGGCUGUUUACAAUCUUUUACUCUACAUGCUAGCAAGUCAUGUAAAUUGAUUUAAUUGCAUUCUUCAGAUUCAAUUAUCUAAUAAAUGGUCCUAGUUACUAUGACAAAAUGUUAUGAUAACCAAAUUAUUGUGUGUGGCUGUGGCAUUUCAGGUGGUUGGAGCUAACUGGUAUCUGCUUUCAGUAGAAUCACAGGUGCGGUGCUGGCGCCGAGAGAUGAAGAAUGCAUCGCUCUUUCAUGACUCAUACUUGGGUUGUGGACGCCAAAAUGAUACGGUCUCCUUACUUCUCAAUAGUACAUGUCUUUUGGUUGACCCUGAUCAAAUCAAUGACUCAUACACCUUCAAUUUUGGAAUAUUUUUCGAUGCUCAACAAUCCCGUGUGAUAGAUGCAACAACUGAUUUUCCUCAGAAGUUCUUCUACUGUUUUUGGUGGGGUUUGCGCGGUUUAAGGUUGGUGAAUGAUACUUUGUGUUCUUCUCUUAAUUUUGCCUUCAUCAUAUAACCUUUAGUGGAGCUAACAUGUAGGAAACAAAACAAAAAAAUACGAGACUAAUAACAUGCCAAAAGUAAUAAAUUUUGUAAUAUGUUACAGUUCUCUUGGACAAAACCUCAAGACAAGUACUUAUGUCCCGGAGAUAGCCUUUGCAAUUUUCAUUGCCAUCUUUGGACUAUUUUUAUUCUCACUACUUAUUGGAAACAUGCAGGUAAGUGUUGAUAAGGCCUAUUAUUAGAUCUUAGAGAUGAAAUGUUUUUCACAUAUAUAUUUUAUGGAGAACUUCUUGACACUCAAAUUAACAAAAAAAAAAAACAAACACAUAGGCUUAUUUAUAGAUUAUGUUGAACAUUGUUACAGAAAUAUCUGGAAUCUACAACUGUUAGGGAGGAAGAGAUGAGAGUGAAGAGGAGGGAUGCAGAACGGUGGAUGUCGCACCGUAUGUUACCUGAUAACUUGAAGCAAAGAAUUAGAAGGUAUGAACAAUACAAAUGGCAAGAAAAUAGAGGUGUUGAAGAGGAGACAUUAAUUCAUAACCUCCCUAAAGAUCUCAGAAGGGACAUAAAGCGUCACCUUUGCUUAGCUUUAGUCAAGAAAGUGAGUAACAUUCAUAAUAUCAUUUCACCAUCUAAUUUUUUUUGUCCAAUUAUAUGUACUAUAUUGCACAUGUGAUGUGUAAUAAGCAUUUCAUGUACUUUAAUGUUGCAUUAGGUGCCAAUGUUUGAGAAAAUGGAUGGGCAAUUGUUAGAUGCAAUGUGUGAUAGACUGAAGCCAGUUCUAUAUACAGAGAAGAGUUGCAUUGUUCGCGAAGAGGAUCCGGUCGAUGAAAUGCUUUUCAUUAUGCGUGGAAAAGUUGCUACCAUGACUACAAAUGGUGGAAGAACUGGUUUCUUCAACUCCUUAUUUCUAAUGCCUGGUGAUUUUUGUGGAGAGGAGCUUCUAACAUGGGCUUUGGAUCCUAACUCAUCCUCAAAUCUACCUACUUCAACUAGAACAGUUGAAACUAUAUCUGAAGUUGAAGCAUUUGCACUCAUGGCUGAUGACUUGAAGUUUGUUGCUUCCCAAUUUAGACGUCUUAUAAACAGCAAACAACUCCAACACACUUUUAGGCAAGGCUUGAUAUCGUGCUUUCUCCUUUUCUGUUUUAAUUUGAUGAUUCACCAUUACAUUUUAUGAAUAAGUGGAGUUCUACAUUAAAUAGGUUCUGACUUUUGAGAGUAAUGUGCUUAUAUAGUCUCAUCAAAUUCAAUUUGGGUUUAUCUUAUAACAUUAGCACAUGUAUAUGUAUUUGGAAGAGCUUACGAAAAUAACAUGUGACAUGCUCAUAUAUAGGUUGUUUUCAUCUUGGUUCAGUAAGCUGUGCAGAAUAGCUUAUAAAUACAGUUUAUAUCUUGUGUGAAAACAAUUUAACCGCAUUACCUCUUUGACAAGAGAUAUAACUCAUACAUAAAGGCUUAAUUUUAAAACAAAAAAAGAAUUUAUUGGUUAAACUUGUUCAACAAUAUAUACUUUUGCA
rnacentral:lncRNA from 1 species